rnacentral:rRNA from 1 species
CGCGGCCUAUCAGCUUGUUGGUGAGGUAAUGGCUCACCAAGGCGUCGACGGGUAGCCGGCCUGAGAGGGUGACCGGCCACACUGGGACUGAGACACGGCCCAGACUCCUACGGGAGGCAGCAGUGGGGAAUAUUGCACAAUGGGCGGAAGCCUGAUGCAGCAACGCCGCGUGAGGGAUGACAGCCUUCGGGUUGUAAACCUCUUUUAGCAGGGAAGAAGCGAAAGUGACGGUACCUGCAGAAAAAGCGCCGGCUAACUACGUGCCAGCAGCCGCGGUAAUACGUAGGGCGCAAGCGUUAUCCGGAAUUAUUGGGCGUAAAGAGCUCGUAGGCGGUUUGUCGCGUCUGCUGUGAAAACCCGAGGCUCAACCUCGGGCCUGCAGUGGGUACGGGCAGACUAGAGUGCGGUAGGGGAGAUUGGAAUUCCUGGUGUGGCGGUGGAAUGCGCAGAUAUCAGGAGGAACACCGAUGGCGAAGGCAGAUCUCUGGGCCGUAACUGACGCUGAGGAGCGAAAGGGUGGGGAGCAAACAGGCUUAGAUACCCUGGUAGUCCACCCCGUAAACGUUGGGAACUAGUUGUGGGGUCCAUUCCACGGAUUCCGUGACGCAGCUAACGCAUUAAGUUCCCCGCCUGGGGAGUACGG